UUAAGCGACUAAGCGUACACGGUGGAUGCCCUGGCAGUCAGAGGCGAUGAAGGACGUGCUAAUCUGCGAUAAGCGUCGGUAAGGUGAUAUGAACCGUUAUAACCGGCGAUUUCCGAAUGGGGAAACCCAGUGUGUUUCGACACACUAUCAUUAACUGAAUCCAUAGGUUAAUGAGGCGAACCGGGGGAACUGAAACAUCUAAGUACCCCGAGGAAAAGAAAUCAACCGAGAUUCCCCCAGUAGCGGCGAGCGAACGGGGAGCAGCCCAGAGCCUGAAUCAGUGUGUGUGUUAGUGGAAGCGUCUGGAAAGGCGCGCGAUACAGGGUGACAGCCCCGUACACAAAAAUGCACAUGCUGUGAGCUCGAUGAGUAGGGCGGGACACGUGGUAUCCUGUCUGAAUAUGGGGGGACCAUCCUCCAAGGCUAAAUACUCCUGACUGACCGAUAGUGAACCAGUACCGUGAGGGAAAGGCGAAAAGAACCCCGGCGAGGGGAGUGAAAAAGAACCUGAAACCGUGUACGUACAAGCAGUGGGAGCACGCUUAGGCGUGUGACUGCGUACCUUUUGUAUAAUGGGUCAGCGACUUAUAUUCUGUAGCAAGGUUAACCGAAUAGGGGAGCCGAAGGGAAACCGAGUCUUAACUGGGCGUUAAGUUGCAGGGUAUAGACCCGAAACCCGGUGAUCUAGCCAUGGGCAGGUUGAAGGUUGGGUAACACUAACUGGAGGACCGAACCGACUAAUGUUGAAAAAUUAGCGGAUGACUUGUGGCUGGGGGUGAAAGGCCAAUCAAACCGGGAGAUAGCUGGUUCUCCCCGAAAGCUAUUUAGGUAGCGCCUCGUGAAUUCAUCUCCGGGGGUAGAGCACUGUUUCGGCAAGGGGGUCAUCCCGACUUACCAACCCGAUGCAAACUGCGAAUACCGGAGAAUGUUAUCACGGGAGACACACGGCGGGUGCUAACGUCCGUCGUGAAGAGGGAAACAACCCAGACCGCCAGCUAAGGUCCCAAAGUCAUGGUUAAGUGGGAAACGAUGUGGGAAGGCCCAGACAGCCAGGAUGUUGGCUUAGAAGCAGCCAUCAUUUAAAGAAAGCGUAAUAGCUCACUGGUCGAGUCGGCCUGCGCGGAAGAUGUAACGGGGCUAAACCAUGCACCGAAGCUGCGGCAGCGACGCUGAUGCGUUGUUGGGUAGGGGAGCGUUCUGUAAGCCUGCGAAGGUGUGCUGUGAGGCAUGCUGGAGGUAUCAGAAGUGCGAAUGCUGACAUAAGUAACGAUAAAGCGGGUGAAAAGCCCGCUCGCCGGAAGACCAAGGGUUCCUGUCCAACGUUAAUCGGGGCAGGGUGAGUCGACCCCUAAGGCGAGGCCGAAAGGCGUAGUCGAUGGGAAACAGGUUAAUAUUCCUGUACUUGGUGUUACUGCGAAGGGGGGACGGAGAAGGCUAUGUUGGCCGGGCGACGGUUGUCCCGGUUUAAGCGUGUAGGCUGGUUUUCCAGGCAAAUCCGGAAAAUCAAGGCUGAGGCGUGAUGACGAGGCACUACGGUGCUGAAGCAACAAAUGCCCUGCUUCCAGGAAAAGCCUCUAAGCAUCAGGUAACAUCAAAUCGUACCCCAAACCGACACAGGUGGUCAGGUAGAGAAUACCAAGGCGCUUGAGAGAACUCGGGUGAAGGAACUAGGCAAAAUGGUGCCGUAACUUCGGGAGAAGGCACGCUGAUAUGUAGGUGAAGUCCCUUGCGGAUGGAGCUGAAAUCAGUCGAAGAUACCAGCUGGCUGCAACUGUUUAUUAAAAACACAGCACUGUGCAAACACGAAAGUGGACGUAUACGGUGUGACGCCUGCCCGGUGCCGGAAGGUUAAUUGAUGGGGUCAGCGCAAGCGAAGCUCUUGAUCGAAGCCCCGGUAAACGGCGGCCGUAACUAUAACGGUCCUAAGGUAGCGAAAUUCCUUGUCGGGUAAGUUCCGACCUGCACGAAUGGCGUAAUGAUGGCCAGGCUGUCUCCACCCGAGACUCAGUGAAAUUGAACUCGCUGUGAAGAUGCAGUGUACCCGCGGCAAGACGGAAAGACCCCGUGAACCUUUACUAUAGCUUGACACUGAACAUUGAGCCUUGAUGUGUAGGAUAGGUGGGAGGCUUGGAAGUGUGGACGCCAGUCUGCAUGGAGCCGACCUUGAAAUACCACCCUUUAAUGUUUGAUGUUCUAACGUUGACCCGUAAUCCGGGUUGCGGACAGUGUCUGGUGGGUAGUUUGACUGGGGCGGUCUCCUCCUAAAGAGUAACGGAGGAGCACGAAGGUUGGCUAAUCCUGGUCGGACAUCAGGAGGUUAGUGCAAUGGCAUAAGCCAGCUUGACUGCGAGCGUGACGGCGCGAGCAGGUGCGAAAGCAGGUCAUAGUGAUCCGGUGGUUCUGAAUGGAAGGGCCAUCGCUCAACGGAUAAAAGGUACUCCGGGGAUAACAGGCUGAUACCGCCCAAGAGUUCAUAUCGACGGCGGUGUUUGGCACCUCGAUGUCGGCUCAUCACAUCCUGGGGCUGAAGUAGGUCCCAAGGGUAUGGCUGUUCGCCAUUUAAAGUGGUACGCGAGCUGGGUUUAGAACGUCGUGAGACAGUUCGGUCCCUAUCUGCCGUGGGCGCUGGAGAACUGAGGGGGGCUGCUCCUAGUACGAGAGGACCGGAGUGGACGCAUCACUGGUGUUCGGGUUGUCAUGCCAAUGGCACUGCCCGGUAGCUAAAUGCGGAAGAGAUAAGUGCUGAAAGCAUCUAAGCACGAAACUUGCCCCGAGAUGAGUUCUCCCUGACUCCUUGAGAGUCCUGAAGGAACGUUGAAGACGACGACGUUGAUAGGCCGGGUGUGUAAGCGCAGCGAUGCGUUGAGCUAACCGGUACUAAUGAACCGUGAGGCUUAACCUU
rnacentral:rRNA from 2 species